CCGAAAAACUUCUCAGAAUUGCUACAAUCAUUGGCUAGUCCCUAUAACCUUUGUAAAAGGAUAGAUUCAUGAUUACAGGUAAAAAGAAAAAUAUACAAAACAUUUCUUAUUUAAAAAGUCAUCAGUAGUUACAUGUUACAUAGAUUCAUGAUUGCAGGUAAAAA